CCUACGGGGGGCUGCAGUGGGGAAUAUUGCACAAUGGGCGCAAGCCUGAUGCAGCCAUGCCGCGUGUGUGAAGAAGGCCUUCGGGUUGUAAAGCACUUUCAGCGGGGAGGAAGGCGGUGAGGUUAAUAACCUCAUCGAUUGACGUUACCCGCAGAAGAAGCACCGGCUAACUCCGUGCCAGCAGCCGCGGUAAUACGGAGGGUGCAAGCGUUAAUCGGAAUUACUGGGCGUAAAGCGCACGCAGGCGGUCUGUCAAGUCGGAUGUGAAAUCCCCGGGCUCAACCUGGGAACUGCAUUCGAAACUGGCAGGCUAGAGUCCUGUAGAGGGGGGUAGAAUUCCAGGUGUAGCGGUGAAAUGCGUAGAGAUCUGGAGGAAUACCGGUGGCGAAGGCGGCCCCCUGGACAAAGACUGACGCUCAGGUGCGAAAGCGUGGGGAGCAAACAGGAUUAGAUACCCCGGUAGUC
rnacentral:rRNA from 1 species